AGAGUUUGAUCCUGGCUCAGGACGAACGCUGGCGGCGUGCCUAACACAUGCAAGUCGAAGGGGGUGAAUUACUUCCGUUUUUCAAUUAGAGGCGAACGGGUGAGUAACGCCUGAAAAACCUGCCUUUCUUCGGGGGACACCAGUAGGAAACUACUGCUAGUACCUCAUAAUGUUAUUGAGGGGCAUCCCUGAAUAACCAAAGCUUUAUGUGCUGAAAGAUGGUCUCGCGUCAGAUUAACUAGAUGGCGGGGUAACGGCCCACCAUGGCGACAAUCAAUAACCGGUCUGAGAGGAUAAACGGCCGCCUUGGGACUGAGAUACGGCCCACACUCCUAACGCAGGCAGCAGGGGGGAAUAUUGAGCAAUGGGGGAAACCCUGACCCAGCAACCCCGCGUGAGGGAAGAAGGCUUUCGGGUUGUAAACCUCUUUUACCAUGGACGAAGAACGUGACGGCACCUGGAGAAAAAGCAACGUCUAAUUACUUGCCAGCAGCCGCGGUAAUACUUAGGUUGCAAGCGUUGUCCUGAUUUACUGGGUGUAAAGGGCGUGUAGGCGGAGAUGCAAGUUGUGAGUGAAAUCCCGGGGCUCAUCCCCGGAACUGCUUUCAAAACUGCAUCCCUUGAGUAUCGGAGAGGCAAGCGGAAUUCUUAGUGUAGCGGUGAAAUGCGUAGAUAUUAGGAGGAACACCAGUGGCGAAGGCGGCUUGCUGGCCGACAACUGACGCUGAGGCGCGAAAGCGUGGGGAGCAAACAGGAUUAGAUACUCCGGUAGUACACGCUGUAAUCGACGAAUAAUAGGUGUGGGAGGAGUGACACCUUCCGUGCCGCAGUUAACACAAUAAGUAUUCCACCUGGGGAGUACGCCCGCAAGGUUGAAACUCAAAGGAAUUGACGGGGGCCCGCACAAGCAGUGGAUUAUGUGGUUUAAUUCGACGCAACGCGAAGAACCUUACCAGGGUUUGACAUCCAACUACAGAUGUAGAGAUACAUUAGUUGUCCUUCGGGGAAAAUUGAGACAGGUGGUGCAUGGUUGUCGUCAGCUCGUGUCGUGAGAUGUUGGGUUAAGUCCCGCACCGAGCGCAACCCCUAUUGUUAGCUGGUCAGCAAGAGCACUCUAGCGAGACUGCCGUUGACAAAACGGAGGAAGGCGGGGACGACGUCAAAUCAUCAUGCCCCUUAUAUCCUGGGCUACACACGUAAUACAAUGGUGGUUAACAGAGGGAAGCGAUGUAGUGAUACGGAGCAAAUCCUUAAAAGCCAUUUCAGUUCGGAUUGCAGGCUGCAACUCGCUCCGCAGGAAGCUGGAAUUGUUAGUAUUCGCGGAUCAGCAUGCCGCGGUGAAUACGUUCCCGGGCCUUGUACACACCGCCCGUCA
rnacentral:rRNA from 1 species